AGAGUUUGAUCCUGGCUCAGAAUGAACGUUGGCGGCGUGCCUAACACAUGCAAGUCGAGCGUGAAAGUCCUUCGGGAUGAGUAAAGCGGCGAACGGGUGAGUAACGCGUGAGAAUUUUCCUUUCAGUGAAGAAUACCUUUGGGAAACUAAAGUUAAUACUGCAUACGUCUCGAAAGAGAGAAAGAUGGCCUCUUUGCUGUCGCUGAAAGAUAAGCUUGCGUUCUAUUAGUUAGUUGGUGAGGUAAUGGCUCACCAAGACGAUGAUGGAUAGCCGGCCUGAGAGGGCGAACGGCCACAUUGGAACUUAGACACGGUCCAAACUCCUACGGGAGGCAGCAGUGAGGAAUAUUGCACAAUGGGCGCAAGCCUGAUGCAGCGACGCCGCGUGGAGGAUGACGGUUUUCGGAUUGUAAACUCCUGUUAAGUGUGAAAAAAGACCUGAUUUUAAUAGAAUCGGGGUGAUGUAGCACUAGAGAAAGCACCAGCUAACUUGUGCCAGCAGCCGCGGUAAUAC
rnacentral:rRNA from 1 species